UACGUAGGUGGCAAGCGUUGUCCGGAUUUACUGGGCGUAAAGAGCGCGCAGGCGGUCGUUCAAGUCGCGUGUGAAAGCCCCCGGCUCAACUGGGGAGGGUCACGCGAUACUGAUCGACUCGAAGGCAGGAGAGGGUAGUGGAAUUCCCGGUGUAGUGGUGAAAUGCGUAGAGAUCGGGAGGAAUACCAGCAGCGAAGGCGGCAAACUGGAUAGGCACUGACACUCAACUGCGAAAGCGUGGGGAGCAAACAGG
rnacentral:rRNA from 1 species